rnacentral:tRNA from 1 species
CAGAUAUUAGUUUAUUAAAAUUUUAAUUUUGGAGAUUAAAGAAAGAAAAUUUUUCUAUAUCUGA